rnacentral:rRNA from 1 species
AUUGAACGCUGGCGGUAGGCCUAACACAUGCAAGUCGAGCGGCAGCAGAGUACUUGCUUGCGCAUUCGGCGGCCGACUGGCGGGCAAUGCCUGAAAACCUCCGUAGUAGCUGUUUCUAGCGUGCUGACACAGGCGCUCUUACCGCAUUAGCGCUGAGGGACUAAGUGUGAGAGCUUCGGAUCUUCCGCCCUCGCGCGAUUGGAUGUCGGAUUAGCUAGUUGGCGGGGUAAAGGCCUACCAAGGCGACGAUCCGUAGCUGGUCUGAGAGGAUGAUCAGUCACACUGGAACUGAGACACGGUCCAGACUCCUACGGGAGGCAGCAGUGGGGAAUAUUGGACAAUGGGCGCAAGCCUGAUCCAGCCAUGCCGCGUGGGUGAAGAAGGCCUUCGGGUUGUAAAGCACUUUAGGUGGGAAAGAAGAGCAGCAGGUUAAUACCUCGCUGUUCUGACGUUACCAAAAGAAUAAGCACCGGCUAACUUCGUG